rnacentral:tRNA from 1 species
GGCCUGAUGGUCUAGUAGUAUGAUUCCUUGUUAGGGCUAUAUAGCAAUAUCGAGGAGGUCCCGGGUUCAAUUCCCGGUCAGGCCC